rnacentral:sRNA from 1 species
AACUAGCCCCGAUUGCAACGGCAUCCUUUUUUGUUUUUUUUUGGAUUUCUCAAUUCAUCUGGAAUGACAGCUCGUCUAAAAAAACAAAAAAGAUAUAGUGGAAAGCGGGAUCAAGC